rnacentral:rRNA from 1 species
UCGAUUCCCUUAGUAGCGGCGAGCGAAACGGGAAGAGCCCAAACCAACAAGCUUGCUUGUUGGGGUUGUAGGACACUCUAUACGGAGUUACAAAGGACGACAUUAGACGAAUCAUCUGGAAAGAUGAAUCAAAGAAGGUAAUAAUCCUGUAGUCGAAAAUGUUGUCUCUCUUGAGUGGAUCCUGAGUACGACGGAGCACGUGAAAUUCCGUCGGAAUCUGGGAGGACCAUCUCCUAAGGCUAAAUACUCUCUAGUGACCGAUAGUGAACCAGUACCGUGAGGGAAAGGUGAAAAGCACCCCGGAAGGGGAGUGAAAUAGAACCUGAAACCGUGUGCUUACAAGUAGUCAGAGCCCGUUAAUGGGUGAUGGCGUGCCUUUUGUAGAAUGAACCGGCGAGUUACGAUUUGAUGCAAGGUUAAGCAGUAAAUGUGGAGCCGUAGCGAAAGCGAGUCUGAAUAGGGCGUUUAGUAUUUGGUCGUAGACCCGAAACCAGGUGAUCUACCCUUGGUCAGGUUGAAGUUCAGGUAACACUGAAUGGAGGACCGAACCGACUUACGUUGAAAAGUGAGCGGAUGAACUGAGGGUAGCGGAGAAAUUCCAAUCGAACCUGGAGAUAGCUGGUUCUCUCCGAAAUAGCUUUAGGGCUAGCCUCAAGUGAUGAUUAUUGGAGGUAGAGCACUGUUUGGACGAGGGGCCCCUCUCGGGUUACCGAAUUCAGACAAACUCCGAAUGCCAAUUAAUUUAACUUGGGAGUCAGAACAUGGGUGAUAAGGUCCGUGUUCGAAAGGGAAACAGCCCAGACCACCAGCUAAGGUCCCAAAAUAUAUGUUAAGUGGAAAAGGAUGUGGCGUUGCCCAGACAACUAGGAUGUUGGCUUAGAAGCAGCCAUCAUUUAAAGAGUGCGUAAUAGCUCACUAGUCGAGUGACACUGCGCCGAAAAUGUACCGGGGCUAAACAUAUUACCGAAGCUGUGGAUUGUCCUUUGGACAAUGGUAGGAGAGCGUUCUAAGGGCGUUGAAGCAUGAUCGUAAGGACAUGUGGAGCGCUUAGAAGUGAGAAUGCCGGUGUGAGUAGCGAAAGACGGGUGAGAAUCCCGUCCACCGAUUGACUAAGGUUUCCAGAGGAAGGCUCGUCCGCUCUGGGUUAGUCGGGUCCUAAGCUGAGGCCGACAGGCGUAGGCGAUGGAUAACAGGUUGAUAUUCCUGUACCACCUAUAAUCGUUUUAAUCGAUGGGGGGACGCAGUAGGAUAGGCGAAGCGUGCGAUUGGAUUGCACGUCUAAGCAGUAAGGCUGAGUAUUAGGCAAAUCCGGUACUCGUUAAGGCUGAGCUGUGAUGGGGAGAAGACAUUGUGUCUUCGAGUCGUUGAUUUCACACUGCCGAGAAAAGCCUCUAGAUAGAAAAUAGGUGCCCGUACCGCAAACCGACACAGGUAGUCAAGAUGAGAAUUCUAAGGUGAGCGAGCGAACUCUCGUUAAGGAACUCGGCAAAAUGACCCCGUAACUUCGGGAGAAGGGGUGCUCUUUAGGGUUAACGCCCAGAAGAGCCGCAGUGAAUAGGCCCAAGCGACUGUUUAUCAAAAACACAGGUCUCUGCUAAACCGUAAGGUGAUGUAUAGGGGCUGACGCCUGCCCGGUGCUGGAAGGUUAAGAGGAGUGGUUAGCUUCUGCGAAGCUACGAAUCGAAGCCCCAGUAAACGGCGGCCGUAACUAUAACGGUCCUAAGGUAGCGAAAUUCCUUGUCGGGUAAGUUCCGACCCGCACGAAAGGCGUAACGAUUUGGGCACUGUCUCAACGAGAGACUCGGUGAAAUCAUAGUACCUGUGAAGAUGCAGGUUACCCGCGACAGGACGGAAAG